CCCGACUAAAUAGUCAGGUAUUGCAUGUUUUAAAAAUUAUUUGGCCUGGUGUGCUACAGUUCUCGGAGAGAAUCUGCUGGUCUUGAUUCACUGGGCUGGGCAGUAAGUGCCCCCGGUAGUGCCCAGAUCAGAAACAUAG
rnacentral:snoRNA from 1 species